ACAUUCAGUGAAUAGAGUGCGGUUCUCUAUUCUUUUGAUAUUUUCUCUAAGUUCCCUUUAAGAGAGUGUAAUUUUGGGUUUCCAUCUCUCAAUUGUAAUGUACAUAUAAUUCUUACUAUGUCUUUGCAGUUUGCUCAACCGGAGGGGGAUGACAAGACUCUGUGUGUUGAUGAGUGGCCGUUUCUUCAAACAGAGUUUUGUGAGAAGGUGAACCAGCCAACUGCUCGGGUUGUCUCUGGACAGAGAAAACAAAAGGAGCCAACACCUUGGGGGCCAAAAGUUGUGAUGGCCCAGGCUGAUAAACCAACAGCCAAUGAGACCAGCUUCUUGGGAUGUUCAACCAAGAUGACACACAUUGAGGACCAUGAGCCGUUUGAACCAGCACCUGAGGUCACUGCGAGCAGUCAGCAGGUAUGUAAUUACUAGUGGAAAAAUU
rnacentral:lncRNA from 1 species